rnacentral:tmRNA from 1 species
GGGGGCGUUCUAGACUCGCUCGGAGAAGUGGUGGCAAGAGUUGCGCGUCGAGAUUCCACCUGGUCUCGUUAAACGGUGGACCUUUAUAAUUGCAAACAACGAAUACGCUCUAGCUGCUUAAGUGCCGCUAGCAUUCUGCCUUCUGAACCUACGGUGAAGGGCCAGGGUGUCAAAACAGUAGGUUGCUCUAACAACAAUGCUCGGAGUUGCUUAGAAAAGAUUAUCGAGCUAGCCUGAAAUGAAUCCUUGCCUUUAGGAGUCACGACUGGCGAAACUUAAAUUGAAGGAUACACGCGUAGACGCUUUUGUGGCGGCUCUUCGAUACAGGGGUGCAAAUCCCCUCGCCUCCACCA